AGGUCAGGUUUGGGGUGUUACAAAGUCUUUAAAUCGUUUCCAAGCUUCAUAUAGUGUUUCAUCCUCCAAUUGCCAAAAAGAUGUGAUGUCAUUUCUAAAUUU
rfam:Gossypium raimondii chromosome 5, whole genome shotgun sequence.